rnacentral:rRNA from 1 species
GGUAGCGCAAUCACUUGUCUUUUAAAUGAAGACCUGUAUGAAUGGCAUCACGAGGGCUUAGCUGUCUCCUCUUUCAAGUCAAUGAAAUUGAUCUGCCCGUGCAGAAGCGGACAUAAGAACAUAAGACGAGAAGACCCUAUGGAGCUUUAGACACCCGGCAGACCCUGUUAAGUAGCUGAACUAUCAGAUUAAAACAAAGCGGCCCCUGGCCUACAUGUCUUCGGUUGGGGCGACCACGGGGGAAAACAAAGCCCCCACGAGGAUUAAGGAAAACCUCCUUAUAACCACGAGCGACAGCUCUAAGUCUCAGAACUUCUGACCAAAAAGAUCCGACACCAGUCGAUCAACGGACCAAGUUACCCUAGGGAUA